rnacentral:rRNA from 1 species
CCUACGGGUGGCUGCAGUGGGGAAUAUUGGGCAAUGGAGGAAACUCUGACCCAGCAAUGCCGCGUGAAUGAAGAAGGUCUUCGGAUUGUAAAGUUCUUUAGUCAGGGAAGAAGUCAAUGACGGUACCUGAAGAAUAAGCUCCGGCUAACUACGUCCCAGCAGCCGCGGCAAUACGUAGGGAGCAAGCGUUGUUAGGAAGGACUGGGUGUAAAGGGUGCGUAGGCGGUUGUACAAGUUAGAAGUGAAAUACCCAGGGCUUAACUCGGGUGCUGCUUCUAAAACUGUAUGACUUGAGUGCAGGAGAGGUUAGUGGAAUUCCUAGUGUAGCGGUGGAAUGCGUAGAUAUUAGGAGGAACACCAGAGGCGAAGGCGGCUAACUGGACUGCAACUGACGCUGAGGCACGAAAGUGUGGGGAGCAAACAGGAUUAGAUACCCUAGUAGUC